GAUGAACGCUAGCUACAGGCUUAACACACGCAAGUCGAGGGGUAGCACGGAGGAAGCUUGCUUCCUUGGGUGACGACCGGCGCACGGGUGAGUAACGCGUAUCCUACCUACCCAUAACUCGGGCACAGCCGCUCGAAAGAGUGAAUGAUUCCCGAUAUGUCAUUAGCGUAGAUCUAAUGAUGAAAGAUUUAUCGGUUAUGGAUGGGGAUGCGUAAGAUUAGGUAGUAGGCGGGGUAACGGCCCACCUAGCCGACGAUCUUUAGGGGUUCUGAGAGGAAGGUCCCCCACACUGGUACUGAGACACGGACCAGACUCCUACGGGAGGCAGCAGUGAGGAAUAUUGGUCAAUGGGCGGAAACCUGAACCAGCCAAGUAGCGUGAAGGAUUACAGCCCUACGGGUUUUAAACUUCUUUUAUAUAAGAGUAAUGUGCACUACGUGUAGUGUAUUGCAAGUAUUAUAUGAAUAAGCAUCGGCUAACUCCGUGCCAGCCGCCGCAGUAAAAC
rnacentral:rRNA from 1 species